rnacentral:rRNA from 1 species
CCUACGGGAGGCAGCAGUGGGGAAUCUUGCGCAAUGCGCGAAAGCGUGACGCAGCAACGCCGCGUGGAGGAAGACGGCCUUCGGGUUGUAAACUCCUUUCAGUUGGGACGAAGGUUCACCGGUGAAUAGCCGGUUGGACCGACGGUACCUUCAGAAGAAGCCCCGGCUAACUACGUGCCAGCAGCCGCGGUAAUACGUAGGGGGCUAGCGUUGUCCGGAAUCAUUGGGCGUAAAGCGCGUGUAGGCGGCUCGAUAAGUCCGCUCUGAAAGCCCGGGGCUCAACCCCGGGAGGCGGGUGGAUACUGUCGAGCUCGAGCCCGGAAGAGGCAAGUGGAAUUCCCGGUGUAGCGGUGAAAUGCGCAGAUAUCGGGAGGAACACCAAUGGCGAAGGCAGCUUGCUGGGACGGUACUGACGCUGAGACGCGAAAGCGUGGGGAGCAAACAGGAUUAGAUACCCUGGUAGUCCACGCCGUAAACGAUGGACACUAGGUGUGGGGGGUGUCGACUCCCUCCGUGCCGAAGCUAACGCAUUAAGUGUCCCGCCUGGGGAGUACGGCCGCAAGGCUAAAACUCAAAGGAAUUGACGGGGGCCCGCACAAGCGGCGGAGCAUGCGGAUUAAUUCGAUGCAACGCGAAGAACCUUACCAAGGCCUGACAUGAACCGGUAAGACCUGGAAACAGGUCCCCCGCUUGCGGUCGGUUUACAGGUGGUGCAUGGUUGUCGUCAGCUCGUGUCGUGAGAUGUUGGGUUAAGUCCCGCAACGAGCGCAACCCUCGUUCUAUGUUGCCAGCACGUGAUGGUGGGGACUCAUAGGAGACUGCCGGGGUCAACUCGGAGGAAGGGGGGACGACGUCAAAUCAUCAUGCCCCUUAUGUCUUGGCUUCACGCAUGCUACAAUGGCCGGUACAAAGGGUUGCGAUACUGUGAGGUGGAGCUAAUCCCAAAAGCCGUCUUCAGUUUCGGAUUGGGGUCUGCACUCGACCCAUGAGUCGAGUCGCUAGUAUCGCAGAUCAGCACGC